rnacentral:rRNA from 1 species
GAAUGAACGCUGGCGGCGUGCCUAACACAUGCAAGUCGAGCGAGAAAGUUCCCUUCGGGGAGCGAGUACAGCGGCGCACGGGUGAGUAACGCGUGGGUAACCUACCCUCGAGUGGGGGAUAACUCGUCGAAAGGCGGGCUAAUCCCGCAUACGUCCCGCAGACCCAUGUCUGCAGGAGAAAGAUGGCCUCUGCUUGCAAGCUAUCGCUCUUGGAUGGGCCCGCGUUAGAUUAGCUUGUUGGUGAGGUAACGGCUCACCAAGGCUCCGAUCUAUAGCUGGUUUGAGAGGACGACCAGCCACACUGGAACUGAGACACGGUCCAGACUCCUACGGGAGGCAGCAGUGAGGAAUAUUGCGCAAUGGGGGAAACCCUGACGCAGUGACGCCGCGUGAGGGAAGAAGGUUUUCGGAUUGUAAACCUCUGUUCUUGGUGAAGAGGGGAAGACGGUAGCCAAGGAGGAAGCCCCGGCUAACUACGUGCCAGCAGCCGCGGUAAUACGUAGGGGGCGAGCGUUGUCCGGAAUGAUUGGGCGUAAAGGGCGCGUAGGCGGCUUAAUAAGUCUGGAGUGGAAGUCCUAUUUUCAAGGUAGGAAUUGCUUUGGAAACUGUUAAGCUUGAGUGCAGGAGAGGUCAUCGGAAUUCCCGGUGUAGCGGUGAAAUGCGUAGAGAUCGGGAGGAACACCAGUGGCGAAGGCGGGUGACUGGACUGCAACUGACGCUGAGGCGCGAAAGUGUGGGGAGCAAACAGGAUUAGAUACCCUGGUAGUCCACACUGUAAACGAUGAAUGCUAGGUGUAGGUGGUAUCGACCCCAUCUGUGCCGGAGUCAACACAAUAAGCAUUCCGCCUGGGGAGUACGGUCGCAAGAUUAAAACUCAAAGGAAUUGACGGGGGCCCGCACAAGCAGCGGAGCAUGUGGUUUAAUUCGAAGCAACGCGAAGAACCUUACCAGGUCUUGACAUCCAUUAAAAGCUGCAGAGAUGCAGUGUGAGCUUGCUCGUAAUGAGACAGGUGGUGCAUGGUUGUCGUCAGCUCGUGUCGUGAGAUGUUGGGUUAAGUCCCGCAACGAGCGCAACCCUUGCCAAUCGUUACUAACAGAUAAAGCUGAGGACUCAAUUGGGACUGCCGUGGACAACACGGAGGAAGGUGGGGACGACGUCAAAUCAUCAUGCCCCUUAUGACCUGGGCUACACACGUGCUACAAUGGUCGCAACAAAGAGGGGCGAAGCCGUAAGGCGGAGCAGAUCUCAAAAAAGCGAUCCCAGUUCGGAUUGUGGGCUGCAACCCGCCCACAUGAAGUCGGAGUUGCUAGUAAUCGCGAAUCAGCAUGUCGCGGUGAAUACGUUCCCGGGCCU